rnacentral:rRNA from 1 species
CAGGGUAGGCGACCGAGCGAGCGGGAAAGUCAAAGUCAAGGUGUGAGCGGGGAGCGGCAGAAGCGCUUAGGGUCUAACAGAGCAGCUAAAACUACCCGCGCCGCGGUAAAAACACCACUAAAACAACAACGAACGGGGGGCCUGGGCGGGGCACCUCGCCGGUACCACUUCUGGGGGUUAUCGUGGGGGUUCCGGUUCCGGUUCCGCCGGAGGCCGAGGCCGUGGCCGCGGCCGCCACGACGGUCCGGCAGGGGCCGCUCGCGGAGGCCGAGACCAAGCCGCUUCCGCAGCUUCAAAUUCUUUGCCUUUCGGUAACCGCGGCCGCGUUUCCAACGCCGGUGACGACACCGUCGCCGGCUACCCAGCUGAAGGCGCCCACGACGGCCGUCCCUGCUUGGACGGGGACGCGGACACGUCUUUGGCAGGUGCGGAAGACCACGCAGCGGACGCCGUAGAAACUUCGGUCGGUGGCAUCGACUUCCUAGUAGACGACGGGUCCAUGACCGUGGUUUCGGUCUGUGGCGACUUCUUCGUAGUCGCAGCUGAGGUUUCGGUUUCGGUUUCGAUUUCGGUUUCGGCCGACUACGACGUCGACGGUGGUCGUUACCCCGCCCACGAUCGCCAUCAUCACCACCAUCGUUCUUCGUCUUCUUCCCCGUAUUCCUCUCCGAAUACCGAACCUUCCCUUUCCCCUUCGUCCUCCUCCGCGUCCCCUUAUUCUUCCCCUACUCCUUCCUCCUCCCCCUCGUCCCCUUAUUCUUCCCCUGCCCCUUCCUCCUCCCCCGGUUCUUUCUUCCCCCACCACUAUCGUCCCCUCCUCCCGAAUAGAAGUACACGUUACGUGUCUGAUUCGGCCUCACGAAGGUCUUGGCACACAAACCGUACGGGUACCCCUUCUUCCUCUACCACCUCUUCCAGGCUGGUCCCUGUUUCCAUAAGGACAUACUAAAACUGAACUCCGACGAUAUACCUCACAUGUUCCGCUGUAGUUUCCCGCCCUAUUUGGAACAGUCUUUACAUAAAUUGCCCUUCAAAGGACGAGUCCACUUUAAAUGCUGACUAUUUCUAACGGAAGGAGAAGGACUCUCAUGAAAGUUCGUACGGUAGUUUCUCUUGAUGUCACGUUCGGCGUUUAAACUGGGACUCUAGUGAAGAUGUGUUCAAGCAUCCGACUACCGAGAUAAGUUCGGAUAGUGACAUGUAGUUAGUCGAGGUUCCCCAGUAGAUCUACCUUCCAUGGCGCUACUUCUUUCUUCCGUAGUUGUACUUCUAUCCGGUGUAGGUAACGUACAACUUCUGUCCGCGGGCGUCCACCUACUAGUGUCUAUAAUAGUUGUUCGUGGAGGACGUGGACUCAGAGUUGUGUAAGGAGAACGGGGUCUCCGAGCGGUACAAGGAGAACGGUGUCCCGGAGUGAUACGCGGAAGACAUGGUCUCGGAGCCGUACAGGGUGGUCGCAUAAUGGUGGUAAACCGAGGAAGUAGACUACUAAGAAUGAUGGCAAGAGCUCACCUAGGUCACGUACUCGCGUAACGACGGUCUUGUGGAGGUUCCCUAAUGCGUCGUGUCGAACCCCUCAACAGACGAGCACGACUGGUAUACAGCCUGGAGAUGGCCUGGUGACAAGCACUACGAGCGGACCUCCUAGGAAUGGCGGGUCCUCUCGAACGACGGGCACCACGAGCACACCUCCUUGAGAUGGCGGGUCAUCUCUAACGAAGAGCACCACUAGCACACCGCCUAGAGAUGGUCCUAGAGAUGGCGAGACGUCUCCAAGGAAGAGCACCACGAGCAUACCUCCUAGAGAUGGCAGGUCCUCUCCAACGACGAGCGCUACAAGCAUACCUCCUAGGGAUGGCAGUUCCUCCCUAUCUACGAGCACCAAGAAUACCCCCCGAGAUGGCAAGACUGGUCGAUUUACGAGCACGUCACCUAGAGGGUGUAAGAAUAGUCUGGAGGUUGGGACGAAUACGACUUCGGUCAGUCUCUGGACAGGGAUGUCGUUCCCGGUUGCGUGGUCCACGGGGCCAAAGGAGUGAGAUAAGGAAGCGACCUCGCGGUCGUAUAGCUACUUAAAAGAGUCGUAAAUUGUACGACACGGCAGCCAACAUGACGGUCAGCGCAACAGCCUACAAAUGAAAAACCAAUUUUGAUAUCGAAUUGACACUCUUCAGCCCUACAAAAAAGAGAGUAGAACAUACGGACAAUUUGACGAAUGGCCUACUUACCGUAAGUCCAAGUCUGGUACGACAGGUACAACGACACAACUACAAUAAUACAAAA